GUACGUUUCAGCAGUGCAUUUACUAAAAUUGGAACAAUACAGAGAACAUUAGCAUAGCACCUGCGCAAGGAUGACAUGCAAAUUCGUGAAGCAUUCCAUAUUUUU